rnacentral:rRNA from 1 species
UACGUAGGGUGCGAGCGUUAAUCGGAAUUACUGGGCGUAAAGCGUGCGCAGGCGGUUGGCAAAGUCAGCUGUGAAAGCCCCGGGCUUAACCUGGGAAUGGCGGUUGAAACUAGUCGACUCGAAUCUGGCAGAGGGGGGUGGAAUUCCACGUGUAGCAGUGAAAUGCGUAGAGAUGUGGAGGAAUACCGAUGGCGAAGGCAGCCCCCUGGGAUAACACUGACGCUCAUGCACGAAAGCGUGGGGAGCAAACAGG